CAGUAGCCGCGGUAAUACGAAGGGUGCAAGCGUUACUCGGAAUUACUGGGCGUAAAGCGUGCGUAGGUGGUUGUUUAAGUCUGCUGUGAAAGCCCUGGGCUCAACCUGGGAAUUGCAGUGGAUACUGGGCGACUAGAGUAAGGUAGAGGAUAGUGGAAUUUCCGGUGUAGCAGUGAAAUGCGUAGAGAUCGGAAGGAACAUCUGUGGCGAAGGCGACUAUCUGGGCCAACACUGACACUGAGGCACGAAAGCGUGGGGAGCAAACAGGAUUAGAUACCCGUGUAGUCCCUGUCUCUUAUAC
rnacentral:rRNA from 1 species